AAAACAUCGCCUCUUGACCCCUUAUAAGAAGGUCUAGCCUGCCCAGUGAUAUUUUUAACGGCCGCGGUACUCUGACCGUGCGAAGGUAGCAUAAUCACNUUGUUNCUUUAAAUGAGGACUAGUAUCAACGGCAUCACGAGGAUUUUACUGUCUCCUUUUUCCUAUCGGUGAAACUGAUCUCCCCGUGAAGAAGCGGGGAUAUUACUAUAAGACGAGAAGACCCCAUGGAGCUUUAAACCCAGAGACACCUCAAACCCUUCCCCCCAUAAAAGUUCUUAUGUGCUGUCCUCUGGUUUUAGGUUGGGGUGACCGCGGAGUAAAACUUAACCUCCACAACGCACGGNAACUUCUUCCCUAUCUAAGAGCAACAUCUCNAAANGAAUUAACACAUUAACGUAAAAUGAUCCAAUAACCUUUAUUUUGAUUAACGAACCAAGUUACCCUGGGGAUAACAGCGCAAUCCAUUUCCAGAGCCCCUAUCGACAAAUGGGUUUACGACCUCGAUGUUGGAUCAGGGUAUCCCAGUGGUGCAGCCGCUACUAAUGGUUUGUUUGUUCAACAAUUAAAAACCCUACGUG
rnacentral:rRNA from 2 species